GGAAAGAGAAAAGAAAAGAAAAUUAAGGCUAUUGUUUUAUUUCUUUUCUCUCUCUCCAUCUCUUUUCUUUUUCUUUCUUUUCUCUCUCUUCUCUCUCCUCCCCUCCCCCUCGUGCGAAAACCCUCCCCACCGACUGCCCCAGCUGUCUCCCUCUUUGUUCCUCUUUCUUUGACCAGUCAAGCUUAUCCUCUUUCCUCUUCUCUCUCAUCUCUCUCUUUCGCACUCUCUCUCCCUCGACUCUCUUUGCUGUGCGAACAGAACCAAAACCGGAAGCCCGGAGCAGAAGCAGCGCAGCUCGUCGUCGCCACCGUUCCGCCGCCGCACCGCCGCCCGCACCCGCGCCGCGCCCGUGCGCCCGCCGCUGUCCCGCCGUCCGCGCACGCCCAGGCCGCACGAAUCAGCCCUGUUUCGCCCCUGUUCCGCACCGACCAGCCACCGUCCGGCCACCUCCGGCCACCGCCCAGCCCCGCCGGACUUCCCCGGCGUCCCCUUCGUCCUUCGCCGGCCUUCCCUCGCCGUUUUGGCCGCCGGAUCUGCUCCGACCAGCCAAGGGCAGAAACCCACGAAAUGGGUUUCCAUCUGGUUCGGGCCCGUUUUGGGCCGUUUCCGGGCCCCGAACCCGAGCCGUGCUUUGGGAAGAAUCGUUCCUCGCGUCGCCGCCGUCGGAUUGAUCCGAUUUGCGCCCGAUUUGGUGAGUAAUCUCACUAAUCCAGGAUUAGUUGGCUAAUUAUGCUUAAGGUUGGUUUAGAUUUAAUUAAUUAUGUUUAGGUUGUUAGAUUAGAAUAAAUUAGCAAUUAUUAGUCAAUUGUGAUGCGAUUUAGAUAAAUUGAUUGUGCAAUUAACAAGUAGACGUGGUCUACUAAUUAUUGGAAGUGCCUCGGGAUUUUUCCCGACCCUUAGUGGGCUCCAAUUAGGCUUUUCGGGCCUAAGUGGAUUUUUUAGUAUUUAAAUAUUAAUUUUCGGAAUUAAAUUAAAUAAUUAUUUAUUUUCCGAAAAUUCAACUGAGAUGGCCCGGGACUGGAAAAUUAUGUUGAUGACCGUGGUGAAGUCCGUUUAUUUAAUCGGGCUUUAUUUUGAGCUAAAUUGAAUUUUUAAUAUUAAUUAUUUAAUUUUCGAAAUUAAUAAAUUAAUUAAUUAUUUUUCGGAAAUUAAGAUUUUGAUGGCCGACGACCGAAAUCUCAUGCUGAUCGUCAUGGCGCAGUCCAUUUAUUUAUUUGAGCUCCACGUUGUAUGGAAUUGAAUAAAUUGUGAUAUUUUAGGGAUUUACCCUAAUUUGAUUGGAAUUGAUUGAGAUUGAAUUGGCCAAGUGUGUUAUUUAGCAUUUAUAAUGCUUUGUUGAGUUGAUUUAAUUAAUUGAUUGAGAAAUCGUUGGGUAUUGGUUAUCACCUGAAAGGAAGCACGUGGGCUCGGUGAAUUGGAAUAUCACCUGGAAAAUGCACGUGAGUUUAGUGGUUGAUUAUAUUGAAUUGUUUAUGUUGGCUCUGUGAUCAGUGUAUCACCUUGGCGAAAAAGACUCCCGAGAGCAUAUUGAAUUGUUUAUGUUGGCUCUGUGAUCAGUGUAUCACCUUGGCGAAAAAGACGCCCGAGAGCAUAUUGAAUUGUUUAUGUUGGCUCUGUGAUCAGUGUAUCACCUUGGCGAAAAAAGACGCCCGAGAGCAUAUUGAAUUGUUUACGUUGGCUCUGUGAUCAGUGUAUCACCUUGGCGAAAAAGACGCCCGAGAGCAUAGUAAAGUGUUCACUGUACGUCACCUUGGCGAAUCAACGCCCGAGAGCAUUGAUGGAGCUCUGUGACUAAGUGCAGACAUCUAAAAGGGCACGUGGGCUCGGUGACUUGAUGUAUCACUUUGGCGAAGAGGUCGCCUGAGAGAAUGCACGUGGGCCCGAGGUUCGAGGCACGUGGACUCGGAGACUUGGAAUGUCGUCCUAGAUAAUGCACGUGGCCUCGCUUUUAGAUACUCCUCCGUGGAGAGUGAUUUGUAUGACAUGUAAUCGACUAGGUCGAUGCUUUGAUUUGAUGUUGUGAAUUGAUUGACUGAAUGGAAAUGACCGUGAGUGGUCUUGUUGGAAUAUAAUCGACCAGGUCGAUUUGAUCGAUGCUUCGAUCAGUGAUAUGAUUGCUUGGGUGCCUAUUAUGAAUUGUACUGACUUGCAGGUGAGAUCAGAGGCCAAGGUAAGUCAUCUGCCCUGUGCGUGUUUAUGCAGCUUUUAGUAUAUUGGUUUACUAAUCGGGCUUAGUGGGGUAGAACUCGCUGAGACGUAGUCUCAUCCCAGUUUGGGGAAACCAUUUCAGGACCCCGCUGAAGAGCUGAGGAGGAGGAAUCCGAGAAGGAGAACUCGGAGGUGAGAUAUGAGGAAAAUGAUUUUUGGAAGAAGAAGACAAUACCGAGAGGGGCCUUGAGUACGGCCUAGUUCAUAUAAGUUUCUGUCUUCUUUUGAGAUCUCCGUUUUGAUGUGAAUAGUUAUGAAAGGGUCUGUGGUUUGUAUAAAAGUUUGGUUAUAAAUUUCAAUAUGAAAAAUAUGGCCCUGCUUUUCUAUCCCAUCGUUUUAUUGUCUGGGGAUUUUAACUGCUUCCGCAUGUGCUUAAAAAAAAUGAAAGGGUCAGCGAUAUAUUGUCCUGGGAUAUCACAUUAUAAAAUCGACCAAGUGAGACGGAUGUGUGCGUGCCUGAGGAUCGGGGCGUGACACCAGCAGCACAGGCUACCUGCAAUAACACAGUACCUCAGUAGCUUUCUGCACAACCUUCAUGGGCUAUGGACAGACCUAUUACCACAGGCUUAAUUCCUGC
rnacentral:lncRNA from 1 species